CUUGUUCUUUAAAUGAGGACUAGUAUGAAUGGCUUCACGAAAGCUAUACUGUCUCCUUUUUCUAAUCAGUUAAACUAAUCUUCCCGUGAAGAAGCGGGAAUGCACCUAUAAGACGAGAAGACCCUAUGGAGCUUUAAACAACUGAGACACUUGAUCCUUAAUUUUUCUGUACACUUAACUCAACAUUAUGUCUCUAGUUUUAGGUUGGGGUGACCACGGAGAAAAAACCAACCUCCACGAUGAAAGCAACUUUCAAUUCUUAGCAAAAAGCUACAUCUUUAUGCACCAACAAAUUGACUCCUAUUGACCCAAUAAUUUGAUCAACGAACUAAGUUACCCUAGGGAUAACAGCGCAAUCCACUUCAAGAGCUCUUAUCGACAAGUGGGCUUACGACCUCGAUGUUGGAUCAGGGUUUCCUAGUGGUGCAGCCGCUACUAACGGUUCG
rnacentral:rRNA from 1 species